GACAUUCACACUCUUUUGUGAUGGAAUGGACAGAUAAGAUGACGACACAGCUGCAUGCACUAUAUGGAUCAAUUAUUCCUGCAUGUACAAAUGAAUUUUUAUGUUACUAUAUCUUUUUUCAACUCAAAGAAGAAAACAAGUUCCACAAUAGUUAAAAGCACCAAAAGUAUAUUUGUUUUUAGUAUCAAUUACAACUAAACUCAAAAAAAUGUAAAAUAAUAAAUAGGAAAAUGUUCCAAUUCUCUCGAGACUUAAUUUCCAAUACCUUGUUAAUAUAAUUAAGAUUCAUGCUAGCUGGUAAUAAAUUCACAUAUAGCUACCCAACAAUAAUAAGCCAUAACAUUCACUUGCAGAAAACACUAAAUACCAAUCAGCACAAAUUCAUUCAAUAUAUAUAAAGACAAAGCAUUAGAUGAACCAUCAACACCAGCACCAUAACUAAAUUACGUGGUUACAUGAAUAAACCUUUCAAUUUUUUAUAACCACAAUACGUUAACAUCUGACAAAUUGUGUAUCAGUUUUCUAUCAACAGAAGCAAAACAUACGUGAAUAAGAAUAAAUUUUACAAUUUUAAAUCAAACAUAACAUGAUAAUAUUAGGUAGUUAUGUUAACCUAUGACAAUUAAAGAUUAUGUGAAAAGCUCAUAGUAAUCAAUCUAACAUUUUCCAGCAUGGGACAGUGACUUAAAGAGUAAUAUAUUAACCAAAUUUUAAAUACAAGAUAUGCAGAAAUGUUCAUUGUGCCGUGUCACAGAAGGUAGAGAGAUGAAGCUUUAUGUAGACUGACCUGGAGAGCCAAAACUCUUUAAAGCUUUCAAUAGCAUUAUCUGUCUAGCCAUAAUUCAGACUCGGUUACUCGGUUACUUAGCUGUUGGAAUUGGAAGUAACCGAGUGAAUGCCCAACAGACAUGGGAUUGUGCACCUUCCAAUUCCACCAAA
rnacentral:lncRNA from 1 species